rnacentral:lncRNA from 1 species
GUGGAUAAAAACCUUAAAUUGUCCCCAAUGUCUGCUUCAAAUUGGAUGGCACUGCAGCUGGAGGCUUUGUUCAGAAUUGAUCCUGGGGAGCUACGAACCCAAAGUUUCACAGUAGGAAGGGGGAAAAAAGAAAAGAAAACAUUUUUCCUAAUGUAACAAUGCGAAUGCUAGAAAAUGACAAGACUGAUCGGUUUUAAACCAUUCUGAAGACUGACUGAGCGUGGAAGUUGCUCAACAAAAAAAGGAACGGGUAUAUUGUUGCUGAGACAAAGGAAAACCCACUCCCUUGGAGGAGCAUGACCUUUUCCUGUAAUUCUUCCCACUGCUGUUGUUGAGCUCCUUGGAUCCUGGCUCCUGGACACCAUCAUCAAGAAGACUUUAUGGAUGGGCUGUCCACCCACUGAGAGAAGAGGAGCAUCAGCUACAGUUUCUCUCUAGAUUGCCUUCUUCAUUUUGAGUAAUGACUGUCAGCAGGGUCAGAUUAAACACAAAACAACUGGACAAUUGCUUGGAGGACUAAACUAUAAGGGCACUAACAUGUCAAUAGUAGGCUAACACAUCCAUGGAAAAUAUAUUUACCAGCUCUUCUCUCAGGGAGGAUUCUGUGUGGGGUUGGAAGUAAUGAUUUGUUAAAUUCCUUAGGGGUAGAAAGUAGGGCAUAAUCAGAAUAUAGAGGAAUAUGCUGUUUGACUUCAGGGUUUCUGUUUUUCUUACUAGGAUAUAUAAAACAGGGACUCUAGCUAGAUUGUUUAUGACCACAGAGGGUAGGCUGAGUGCUCCCAUGAUCUUCCUGCUUGGUUCUUGCCCAUACAGAGGUCAGCCUUUCCUCUAAUAAAGAUUGAACAAGUAGUGGUCUGAGGG